CCUACGGGAGGCAGCAGUAGGGAAUUUUCGGCAAUGGGGGGAACCCUGACCGAGCAACGCCGCGUGAAGGAAGAAGGAAUUCGUUCUGUAAACUUCUGUUAUAAAGGAAGAAAGACGGAUGGUGGCAAUGACAUCCGCGUGACGGUACUUUAUGAGAAAGCCACGGCUAACUACGUGCCAGCACCCGCGGUAAUACGUGGGUGGCAAGCGUUAUCCGGAAUUGUUGGGGGAAACGAGGGAGAAGGCGGCAGCAAAGGUCUGUGGUGAACGACUGAAGCUUAACUUCAGUAAGCCAUAGAAACCAGGCAGCUAGAGUGCAGGAGAGGAUCGUGGAAUUCCAUGUGUAGCGGUGAAAUGCGUAGAUAUAUGGAGGAACACCAGUGGCGAAGGCGACGAUCUGGCCUGCAACUGACGCUCAGGCCCGAAAGCGUGGGGAGCAAAUAGGAUUAGAUACCCCUGUAGUC
rnacentral:rRNA from 1 species